rnacentral:rRNA from 1 species
AUUGAACGCUGGCGGCAUGCUUUACACAUGCAAGUCGAACGGCAGCACGGGCUUCGGCCUGGUGGCGAGUGGCGAACGGGUGAGUAAUAUAUCGGAACGUGCCCAGAAGUGGGGGAUAACGUAGCGAAAGUUACGCUAAUACCGCAUACGAUCUAUGGAUGAAAGCAGGGGACCGCAAGGCCUUGUGCUCCUGGAGCAGCCGAUAUCUGAUUAGCUAGUUGGUGAGGUAAAGGCUCACCAAGGCGACGAUCAGUAGCUGGUCUGAGAGGACGACCAGCCACACUGGAACUGAGACACGGUCCAGACUCCUACGGGAGGCAGCAGUGGGGAAUUUUGGACAAUGGGCGCAAGCCUGAUCCAGCAAUGCCGCGUGAGUGAAGAAGGCCUUCGGGUUGUAAAGCUCUUUUGUCAGGGAAGAAACGGUAGAGGCUAAUAUCCUUUGCUAAUGACGGUACCUGAAGAAUAAGCACCGGCUAACUACGUG